rnacentral:rRNA from 1 species
UACGAAGGGGGCUAGCGUUGUUCGGAAUUACUGGGCGUAAAGCGCGCGUAGGCGGACAUUUAAGUCAGGGGUGAAAUGCCGGGGCUCAACCUCGGAACUGCCUUUGAUACUGGGUGUCUGGAGUUCGGGAGAGGUGAGUGGAAUUCCGAGUGUAGAGGUGAAAUUCGUAGAUAUUGGGAAGAACACCAGUGGCGAAGGGCGGCCCAU